rnacentral:rRNA from 1 species
UGACCUCAAAUCAGGUAGGACUACCCGCUGAACUUAAGCAUAUCAAUAAGCGGAGGAAAAGAAACUAACAAGGAUUCCCCUAGUAACUGCGAGUGAAGCGGGAAAAGCUCAAAUUUAAAAGCUGGCGGUCUUUGGCCGUCCGCAUUGUAAUCUAGAGAAGUGUUACCCGCGUUGGACCGUGUACAAGUCUCCUGGAAUGGAGCGUCAUAGAGGGUGACAAUCCCGUCUUUGACACGGACUCCCAAGGCUUUGUGGUGCGCUCUCAAAGAGUCGAGUUGUUUGGGAAUGCAGCUCAAAAUGGGUGGUAAAUUCCAUCUAAAGCUAAAUAUUGGCGAGAGACCGAUAGCGAACAAGUACCGUGAGGGAAAGAUGAAAAGAACUUUGGAAAGAGAGUUAAACAGUACGUGAAAUUGCUGAAAGGGAAACGCUUGAAGUCAGUCGCGUCGUCCGGAGAUCAACCUUGCUUUUGCUGGGCGUACUCUCCGGUUGACGGGCCAGCAUCAGUUUUGGCCACUGGAAAAGGGCGGAGGGAAUGUGGCAUCUUMGGAUGUGUUAUAGCCUUCCGUCGUAUMCAGUGG